rnacentral:lncRNA from 1 species
ACAUACUCUCCAAUCAUUCUCGAUUCUGUUUCUUUAGGGGAAAUCUCGAUCCUGUUAAUAAGCACAAAUAAGUACCACUGUUGCAUCAGAUUAUCUUGAUGGCCAAGUACAUUACUGCGCCAGUCCUACUUUCUCAACUUCUUAUCGUAUGCCUGGCUACUACAACACAAUGUAAGCGUUCGAUACACAACUCUAAUUUCGACAAUCUCUCUUUACAGUAUGUGCAUGCAUAGGUUAAUUGUGCUCGAAUCAUAAUUCAAUUUCCUAUUUCUGUUGGGAGUAGGUAUUUCGUUAGAGCAUGAAGACUACGUUUUCUUCUUGUGGCAUCUGCUUUUCUUUAUUAAUUAACGUGAAAUCAGACUAAUUGCAAUCGGUUGUCUGUACAUUUUUCCGUAGGUCGACUCAUCGACGGCAUGGAUAAUGAUAAGAUCAAUUUACCAGGCGGGUUGUGCAUCUACGACAAAGACGUUGGUGGAUAUUGUUGCCUUGUGACGAAUUUGUGCUAUAGGACACAAGAUAUUUGCCUUGGAAUAUGCAAAAAAUCAGCCCCUCUUCUCCCUCUGCUCCCAACAAAUUGACCUUUCGUUAGAAGAAAUCAUAUGUGAUGUGGAUGUAAUAUUUUUUAAUAAAAAGUAGCAUGGCAAAUGAACUAUGAUACUUGGUUU